ACGUGAACUCAGUGACUGUCCACCAAACUCCCCCAUCUGUUUCUAAAGUAGUUAGUGACAGUUUAGAACUGAAGUGCAUGGUUGAGGUAGCCAGUAAUGAUUACAUGUACUGGUAUUGUCAAUACCCGGGGAAAGAACUGCAGCUGUUGUUUUACUCCAGUACCACACAGCAUGUGAUUCCAGACGGGAUAGUGGACGGUUUCACCGUUGAGCGACCAAGUGCUUCUCUGUUCAACCUGAAGUCCUCUCGCCUUCGAACGAAUCAUUCAGCCGUGUAUUACUGCGCCUGGAGUCUUUACAGUGACCCAGAGAGGAAGAGCAGCUCAACAAAAAAACUCCCAAAGACAAACAACU